rnacentral:rRNA from 1 species
CCUGGCGGCGAGUGGCGAACGGGUGAGUAAUACAUCGGAACGUACCCAGAAGUGGGGGAUAACGUAGCGAAAGUUACGCUAAUACCGCAUACGUUCUACGGAAGAAAGUGGGGGACCUUCGGGCCUCAUGCUUUUGGAGCGGCCGAUGUCUGAUUAGCUAGUUGGUNNGGUAAAGGCCUACCAAGGCGACGAUCAGUAGCUGGUCUGAGAGGACGACCAGCCACACUGGGACUGAGACACGGCCCAGACUCCUACGGGAGGCAGCAGUGGGGAAUUUUGGACAAUGGGCGCAAGCCUGAUCCAGCAAUGCCGCGUGAGUGAAGAAGGCCUUCGGGUUGUAAAGCUCUUUUGUCAGGGAAGAAACGGCUGAGGUUAAUACCUUUGGCUAAUGACGGUACCUGAAGAAUAAGCACCGGCUAACUACGUGCCAGCAGCCGCGGUAAUACGUAGGGUGCAAGCGUUAAUCGGAAUUACUGGGCGUAAAGCGUGCGCAGGCGGUUUUGUAAGUCUGACGUGAAAUC